CUAGGAUUGGUUGUCCACUCAUAACCAUAAGAUAAUUAAAACAAGGGGGGGCAGGGUUAAAAAAAACUUUUACCAGCCAUAGGUUAAUGCAAGUGUUUAACAGAUGCUUCGCUAUUAAAAUAUUUCCCCCCAAUACUGAAGAAUCUCAAACCAGCAACCCUAACGGAGAUUGUGAAGGUUUUCAAAGUGGGGCACCUCGAUUUCUCGAAUCUGUGGUGUGGCGAAUAUCCGUGUUCUUCCGGCUUAACUAGCCUGUUUGAAAGAAAAUGCAAGGGGAAAUAUCUGAUACGGCUCUGUUAUUUGAUGCUUUGGGCAGCACUAUGCUCAGAAGUCAUUCAACUUCCUGCCAUCUCCCUAACUUGUAUUCUCUGGCAAAAUGAAGGUAAGCGGGACAUUAUUUCCAUAUCUUACUUUAGUCUAUUUACCUAUGGUGGAGUCAUUUGUUAA
rnacentral:lncRNA from 1 species